GACACAUUUUAAUGAAAACCAGGUAUGUUUUAGUGAAGCCCAAAAUAUUGUUCUGUCCCUGAGAAGAGUCACAUUGAAUUCUGCAUCUUGCAGUGUGCUGUGGGUCGGGGUGGUUUGGUUAAUCACAACUCAGCCUCAUUGGGGUGUUCACAGCUCCAACCAGGAUUUCCCAAACUGCUGGUGCCAGAACUGACAGCAAAUCUCCAAAUUCCCUCCCUUUGCUGUGUGACCAGCAGUCACCUUUUCAAGUAGGAUAUGUGACAUGAGGAAAAAAGAGAAAUCUCUAACAGUUGAGCAUUACGGGCAAAACGUUUUAUAAGAAACAUUCGCUGAUAAAGAGAAUCGCCACCGAGGCAGCAGAUAAUCAUCUGUGGGAAAUGGAAGUCCUUGACUUUGUUUACAACCUCCAAGUAUCAAGCCAUGUAAUGUUAUUUGUGGGAAGAACUCUCCUUGAUGGUGUUGACUUGGAUAUUAUCAGCUGUAAUUCCUUUCAGCUUUUGGUCUGAGCCUUGAGCCUGAGAAGUCAGAGCUGAACAGGAUGAGCCCAGCACAGAACCCAUCUCUUUUCAGAAGAUAGCUCUCUCCAGCACUAACAGAAUAAAUAUCACUCAGAAUUCA
rnacentral:lncRNA from 1 species